rnacentral:rRNA from 1 species
AGAGUUUGAUCCUGGCUCAGGACGAACGCUUGCGGCGUGCCUAAGAAAUGCAAGUCGAGCGGGGAUAGCAAUAUCCUAGCGGCGAACGGUCGCGUAACACGUAAGCAACCUGCCCCGAAGACCGGGACAACAUCUCGAAAGGGGUGCUAAUACCGGAUGUGGCCGUCUGGGGACAUCCUCGGGCGAUUAAAUCCAGCAAUGGGCUUCGGGAGGGGCUUGCGUCCUAUCAGCUAGUUGGUGGGGUAACGGCCUACCAAGGCGACGACGGGUAGCUGGUCUGAGAGGACGAUCAGCCGGACUGGGACUGAGAUACGGCCCAGACUCCUACGGGGGGCAGCAAUUAGGAAUCUUGCACAAUGGGCGAAAGCCUGAUGCAGCGACGCCGCGUGAGGGAGGAAGUCCUUCGGGAUGUAAACCUCUUUUAUCAGGGAAGAAAAAAAUGACGGUACCUGGUGAAUAAGCUCCGGCUAACUACGUGCCAGCAGCCGCGGUAAUACGUAGGGAGCGAGCGUUGUCCGAAGUUACUGGGCGUAAAGCGCGCGUAGGCGGGUUUGAAAGUCGGAGGUGAAAGGCAGGGGCUCAACCCCAUGCAGUGCCUCCGAUACUUCAAGUCUUGAGUGCGGUAGGGAGAAGUGGA